UACAGAGGGGGCAAGCGUUAUUCGGAAUUAUUGGGCGUAAAGGGCGCGUAGGCGGCUUUGCAAGUGACGGGUGAAAGCCCUCGGCUUAACCGAGGAACUGCCUGUCAGACUGUGAGGCUUGAGACCGGGAGAGGUGAGUGGAAUUCCCAGUGUAGCGGUGAAAUGCGUAGAUAUUGGGAGGAACACCAGUGGCGAAGGCGGUCUGCUGGGCCGUUGCUGACGCUGAGGCGCGACAGCGUGGGGAGCAAACAGG
rnacentral:rRNA from 1 species